AUUCCUAGCUCUUGUAAUCUCUGUUACUUGUACAUUUCUGUUUUUCUGCCUGCCCGCACUUCUUUCUGUGUGUCUGGCAGCCUGCCUGUCUGCCUGCUUAUGCCCAUUUAUUUACUGUGACUUCAUGUUCUACGUUUUCCAUUUGAGGAAAAUUGGUCUGAUGUCUACUGGCUACUUCAAUUUGAUCCCCCCCUCCUUUUUUUCGCUCUUUUAAGAGCCUGUGCCGAUGGAGGUGCCAACCGCUUAUAUGAUAUCACCGAAGGAGAGAGAGAAAGCUUUUUGCCUGAAUUCAUCAAUGGAGACUUUGAUUCUAUUAGGCCUGAAGUCAGAGAAUACUAUGCUACUAAGGGAUGUGAGCUCAUUUCAACUCCUGAUCAAGACCACACUGACUUUACUAAGUGCCUUAAAAUGCUCCAAAAGAAGAUAGAAGAAAAAGACUUAAAGGUAAUAUAUACAUGUAUUUGGUGGUUAUUCCAAGGAUGUGAAAACAAUUUGUGUUUAUUUUUUCACUCAGCUGAAAUGGAUAUUUACUUUUGUGCUUUUUCUUUUUUUUUAAAUUGCUGUCAGGUUUUUUUUCCCCUGUAGAGCAGAUAAGUCUGCACUUAGCUGCCAAAACAUUAACAUGUGCACUUAAACCAGGGAACACAAAUGUAAACAUCUUACAGUGGCAUGGUAAUAAAAUGGGUGAACUGGACCGUGUGUCAAGUAAUCAAAACUGGGAACUCAUUCUUGCCUGAAAGCGACUAGCUACUAUUCGUCUCUAGUUGAUUGUUGCCAUGAAGAGCUAUAUGUAUUUUUGGACUGUGUCUAUUUACAUAUUAUAUAGGCAAAACAAAUAUGGCCUUGAUUUGGCCCCUGGGCUAUCAUUGCAAAUUUUUAUUUAAACGAAUAUCAGCUUUUUUUAAGCCAGAGAAGAGUCUACUGCUUUGCAUUCUGUGCUCUUUAAGGUAUUCAGUACUGAUUUUCACCUAGCAUCCAAAUGUUUAAUUGCAUUAAUUAGUACACCAGUUUAUACUUUAUUGUUUGAUACCUGUUGAAAUGGUAUGCAAAGUUUCUUAAGACUGUGUUUAAUGAACAGCUACAAAAUUAAACCUGAAGCAAUGAAUGACAAUUGACCUUUUUUUCCCCCACUAGCAGGGGCAAUAAGUUUUAAGCUGAGAUGAAUGAUCAGUUGUGUAAUUUUAAACCAAGAAAAGUAGGAAAACACCCUUGUAUAUUAGAACGAUUUUGAUAGUACAAGUAACAGAAAACACAUGUCAACCUGCUCUCAAUAACCAAGUGAUGUAGGGCAGUCUUGAGACAGAGCUUAAUCAGAACUCAUGCCCUUUUUCUUUUAUUUAUCUUGGCUUCACUUUGUAGGUUUUGUCUUCACACUAGCUUCCUUGAUUGUCUCCAACUGCCACCUGCAGUAACAUUUUACCCUUCACAUGUAGGGGGAUUAAGACAUAGAGCUGGUGAGAUACAUCACUUCCCACCAUCAUUGGACUUAACCCUUAAGAUCUCUCCAUUAAACCACUCUUGCUUUUGGCAAAGGAGAACGAGAGAAUCCUGAUUGUCUUGGGCUGGAGCCAGGUGUGGGAUCAAUCCACGUGGCUUAUAUAUUCAAACUACGUGGCUAAAACAUAUUUGGCAGGAUGGGAUAGAUAUCAGAGUGGCAGCUCUAACAAAAAUUUACUCUCUAGCAAAAGUUUGUUAAAGAUACACUGUAGCAUAUAUUUACUAAGUUGCAGUUAGUAGUAAAUUCUUUUCUCCCUUUGAAAUAAAACCUUGCUAACUAUCACAAUUGGCAAGUAGCUCAAUCUGCGAACUCAAACAAAAAUAAUUGAGUGAACAUUUCUCAUCUCUGAUGUAGCUUUGCUGAUCUAUAUCAAAUGUAUUGUGAUAUUUCCAGCAGUAAAUUGAUAUAAUUAAGUAUUUGUUUAAUGAAAGCAGGAAACAGCAAAUUGAGAGUUACUUAUUUCAUCCAGAUAUCAGUGAUUUGGUGUUUCUUUGGAAAAACAGUGUAAAUAUUCACAGCUGUCUUUUGUUUUUCCCAUCACCUCCACUGACAUGAUUAAAAGCUAAGACGCAAUUAUGUGAGUCUAAUGAGUUGUGUCUAAUCGAUAGUAUCAGUAAUACAGUAUUCUGUCGUUGAGGCUUGAAACAAAUCAUCAUAUCUUAAACUCAACAAGGCCCAGAUCUAGAGAGAGCCCCAAACUGAGAGAGGAGGGUAUGAUCUGCAAACAAAUCUGACAGUCUUGGCCAAUCUGGUGGGGACUCUGGAAGCAAGAGUAGCUGUUAGAGGGCCCCUGCACUGGGCAGAAAUAGCAACAACCUUGUACUCCAACUGUGCUUAGUCACAGACUAGAGGGUGCUCAUGAGGAGGGUGGACUUGGCUUAGAGGUUGCCAAGGAAGAGUACAGACUUGGUGGCUGUGAUGUGCUGCCUCCUGAAGGGGUUGCAGCGGGGGCUGAUGACGGAUGACUGGCCUCCACACAGCCUAACAGUGAGUUCUUUUUUGAAGAGCAAUGCAGUGGUACACUGCCUGUGCUGCCUCAGGCCCCAACAUGCUUUGGACCCAAUGCAUUCUCCAGCCCCAUCCUACACCAGUGUUUCUCCUUGUUCUUAAACUAUGCCGCAUUUUCUCCUCCCUCCUACUUUAAUGUGUUUUUAUAUAUGUUGCCCCCUCUGCUUGGAAUCUUAUUUUUCCUUUUCUUUGUCUAGACCAUGCAUGCUAGAGGGCUUCUUUUUCUUUUUUUUUUUUUUUCAGGUCUGAUACAUUUAUUUAUUUUUAUAUAUUUUUUAUUUCAAUGGGUUUUGGGGUACAUGUGGUUUUUGGUUACAUGGAUGAAUUGUACAUUAUUGAAGUCCGAGAGUUGAGUGCACCUGUUACCCCAGUGUAGUGUACAUUGUACCCAAUAGGUAGUUUUUCAUCCCUCAACCCCCUCCCACCCUCUCCUCUUCUGAGUCUUCUGUGUCCAUUGUAUCACUAUGCCUUUGCACACUCUUAGGUUAGCUCCCACUUAUAAGUGAGAAAAUGCAGUAUUUGGUUUUCCAUUUCUGAGUUACUUCACUUAGAAUAGUGGGCAUGGCAGAGUUUGACUGGCUGUCCUUAACUAUCACUCUAGGUUAGGUUUAGUUACUCUACAUUUCCAUACCCUCCUUUAUUUUUUCUUUAGGGUAUUCUGAACAAUUUUGAUCAUUUUACUAAUUGUUUCUAAUUGUUUGCCUAAAGUCAUUCUUGCCAGCUUGACUGUACAGCCCAUGAAGCUGAGCUCAGGUUUGCUUGUUCAUAACUUGACAGCAGUAUUUUGCAUAAAAGAAGUAUUCCUUGAAAGUUUGGUACGUUUUAUGCACCACAAGAACACACAGGAGAGUGGAACAUAACACAGUUAGGAGAAGGCUUUUUAGAGAAGGCUGAGACAUAGUAAGCAAAUAGGAGGUAGACAGUGCAUUAGUCCAUUUUGCAUUGCUAUAAAGGAAUACCUGAGGCUGGGUAAUUUAUAAAGGUAAGAGUUGUAUUUGGUGUAUGCCUAUGCUGGCUGUACGAGCAUGGCAUCAGAAUCUAUUUGGCUUCUCAUGACCCCUCAGGAAGCUUUUACUCAUGGCAAAAGGUGAAGGGGCAGCAGGCCUGUCACAUGGCAAGAAGGGAGCGAGAAAGAUGACAGGCUCUUCGUAAGAACCAGUUCUCUUGGCCCAGCAUGGUGGCUCACACCUAUAAUCCCAGCACUUUGGGAGGUUGUGGUGGGCAGAUCACGAGGUCAGGAGAUCGAGACCAUCCUGGCUAACAUGGUGAAACCCCAUCUCUACUAAAAAUAAAAAAAUUAGCUGGGGUGAUGGCACACACCUGUAGUCCCAGCUACUUGGGAGGCUGAGGAGGGAGAAUCACUUGAACCCAGGAGGCAGAGUGCCGGGUCCAACCCGCAGACCCUGACCCAGCAACAGAUGAAAGACAUACACUGACACAGGUAUUUUGCCUGUCAGUGGGACUAAGGGGCUCUGACGCCUGAGUCUGCAGCUUUCGCCUCCAUAAAAUGGCAAAGUUUGCGUUUAUUUAGUACAAAUUAAAUGACAAAGUUCUCAAGUAAACACCACUAGAGGGUAAUUUACAUUGUUGAUCUCCUGAGUAGAGAGCAGUCAUGAGCCCACAGAUGAUCAAAGGUUGGUCUUAGGACCACAUGAGUAAAAAAGCUAUUUAGAUAAACUCCUUUACAUUCCUAUGUAUCUUUGCCCUAAGCUUUUAAGAGAAUUCAGUUGCCUUCAGCCAAAUCCUUCACUGAAGCUAUGCAAACCCACUGGCCUUCCAAGAAGGUUUGUGUCUGUUUCCUAUAACUUUAUAAUCUCCCACCACCCUGACCGAUAUCCUAUAGCGGAGGUUGCAGUGAGCUGAGAUCGCACCACUGCCCUCCAGCCUGGGCAACAGAGCAAGACUCCACCUCAGAAAAAAAAA
rnacentral:lncRNA from 1 species